rnacentral:rRNA from 1 species
UACAGGGGGUGCAAACGUUGCUCGGAAUCAUUGGGCGUAAAGCGCACGUAGGCGGCGCGUUAAGUCGGAUGUGAAAGCCCCGGGCUCAACCCGGGAAGUGCAUACGAAACUGGCGCGCUUGAAUAUGGAAGAGGGUCGCGGAAUUCCCGGUGUAGAGGUGAAAUUCGUAGAUAUCGGGAGGAACACCAGUGGCGAAGGCGGCGACCUGGGCCAAUAUUGACGCUGAGGUGCGAAAGCGUGGGGAGCAAACAGG